rnacentral:rRNA from 1 species
AGUUUAUGUACGUAGCAAGGUUAAGUUCCUCAGGAACGGAGCCGAAGGGAAACCGAGUGUGAAAUGCGCGAGAAGUUACGUGUAUAAGACCCGAAACCGGGUGACCUAACCAUGUGCAGGAUGAAGUUGAGGUAAAACUCAAUGGAGGACCGAACCGACCCCCGUUGAAAAGGUGGCGGAUGACAUGUGGUUAGCGGAGAAAUUCCAAUCGAACCCGGAUAUAGCUGGUUCUCCCCGAAAUAGCUUUAGGGCUAGCCUUGCGUGAAUAUUAUCGGAGGUAAAGCACUGAAUAGAUGCGGGGCCGAAAGGCUACCAAGUCUUAUCAAACUAAGAAUGCCGAAUAAUAAUGCGCGGGAGUCAGACAAUGUGAGAUAAGUCUCAUUGUCAAAAGGGAAACAGCCCAGAUCUACAGCUAAGGUCCCAAAUAUAUGCUAAGUGGAGAAGGAUGUGGCGAUGCAAAAACAACCAGGAUGUUGGCUUAGAAGCAGCCACACAUUCAAAGAGUGCGUAACAGCUCACUGGUCGAGUGACGCUGCGCCGAAGAUGUAACGGGGCUAAGCAUAUAACCGAAGCUCAGGCAGUCAAUGACUGGGUAGGGGAGCGUUCCAUAAGGGGUGAAGCCAAAGCGGAAGCAUUGGUGGACAUUAUGGAAGUGAGAAUGCCGGAAUGAGUAGCGAGAAUUGCGUGAGAAUCGUAAUGGCCGAAAAUCUAAGGUUUCUUGGGGAAGGUUCGUCCGCCCUAGGUAAGCCGGAGCUAAGGCGAGGCCGGAAGGCGUAGCCGAUGCACAUACGGUAGAAAAUCCGUAGCCAUCAAAAGCUUUAAGUAUAAUGACACCGGAAACGAGUCUGACCCGGGCGAUGGUAGCCCCGGGCGAAAGGGACUGAAAACAAGUAGGGAAGCAGAUAAGGAUUCGGGCGAGAAAAGUUAUACGGGACAGCAUAGAUGACCGUACCGCAAACCGACACAGGUAGAUGGGAAGAGAAUUCUAAGGCCAACGGGAGAAGGGUUGUUAAGGAACUCGGCAAAAUUACCCCGUAACUUAGGGAGAAGGGGAGCCACAGCGAUGUGGCCGCAGUGAAAAGGCCCAGGCGACUGUUUAGCAAAAACACAGGUCUCUGCAAAACCGAAAGGUGAAGUAUAGGGGCUGACGCCUGCCCGGUGCCGGAAGGUCAAGGGGAAGUGUUAGAGCAAUCGAAGCACAGAACUUAAGCCCCGGUCAACGGCGGCCGUAACUAUAACGGUCCUAAGGUAGCGAAAUUCCUUGUCAGGUAAGUUCUGACCCGCACGAAUGGCGUAACGAUCUGGGCACUGUCUCAACAGCCCGCCCGGCGAAAUUGUAGUAC